UAAUAAAAGAAAUUUACAUUUUGCUGACAAUCUAAUCCAUUUAGACGCGCCUGCGACGUUUUGAGGCGCCGUUCGAUUAUUAUUCACAUCCAGCAUUUGAAAUGAGCUGAUCGAUGCCGAGGCCUUCAACGGGAGCCGGCGUAUCUCGGCUUAUUCGAGAGCGUCCUUAUCUCGCUCUGUCCCUCAGGCCUCAAAGCCCUCGGUUACAAUCCGGGUUCAAAUGUUAACAUGUACGCCUACACRGGACUAAAACUUGUGCCUGCAAAUCCUGAAAGGGGAGUGAAAUUAUCUCCUUGCCCAGGGUGCACAGACACCAGGCGCAGGGGCACAAAUGCACCGUUUGCAGAUAACGGAGGAGGCCAAARGUAUCUGCAGCACGCAGCGCUCCGAUAAGAUUUCACUGUGAUUACGCCCUAUCGGUCCCUGAUGAUCAGCUGUUUGGGUGUCCGAGAGUCAAAUCACAUUCAACAUUUUCUGAAACUCGCCGUCUCCUCAUGGCCAUCUUGUACAUCAGGCAGAACAAGGUGCUUCUUUAUGGGCAAUGAAAUUACUGCUGUUGCAUCAAUUAUGUUGACUCGCAUGGCUAGCAAAGACACAUUCAGGUUCCUAAUACAGCACUUACUUAGCUGAGUAGAUUAAUUUACACAUGGAUUMCUGUGAAGAAAUGCUGAAUGGUGCUAAGUAAAGGAUUUUAUUCACCACGCGUGGUUUCCUUGCAGAGGUGCAGCUGGAGCUUUGUUUCAAUCAAUAGUGAUAUAACGGGGCUUUAAAACAGAGAGAUGUAAAUGAACACAUGCAAGUGCACGCACGCACACACACACACACACACACAGACGCAUGCGCCGCAUUUCUGAGAGGAAACUUCUCCAAAAGCAUAUCAUCAUUUGACCCAAUUGGAGUGUUUUUUUGACCUACUUAUUGGGCUGAUCCUCCAGGGUUCACCCUUUUUGCACUUGUUAAGCGUGUACAGUGGCAUACCUCUUUGAUGUGCAAGUAUCGAUUGUAAAGAUACAAGGUUCCCGACUGACCUAUAGCAUAUUGAUUCGAGAGAGCUCCCUGCUUUCUAGCCUCAUCUCCGACUUGAUAAAACUGAUUUUGAAAUGACCUAGAAAAAUAAGUUUCGAGAUGAAAAUAAUUUGCGCGAAUGCAUGCUUCGACUCCUAAUAGUUUCAUCUAUAACGGCAUUACCUCUGCUGACCUGCUUUUCUUCCCCCCCGCACAUGUCUAAAGGCAACCUUUGCCAUUCUUUAGAGGGUUUGUGGUGAAAUGCUGCAUUUGGCCUUUUUUUUUCCUGCACAUUCAAAGGUCAUUAGGUCAUUUCAAAUCUGCAGGUAAUGGAGCUGACAGGGUUCAUCUGAGCUUAGUUCUAGCUGCCUAAGGGGCCCCGAGUGAGUUCACGUUAUCUACAACCAGCACUCAGAUACAACCGCACAGCUCAGUGGUUUGGUAAUAAGUAGGAGGAUAGCUUGGCGAGUUCAAUUGUUUAUGCAAAUGAGGACAUGUAUGUAUUCUGGUGUAAAGUUUUAAAGCUCGAGAAGAAUGAAUGUGAUUAAAAAUCUAAUUUAAGAAAAAAAAAAAUCUGAUAUGUCUAAGAAAACGGGAUUUCAAAUGAGAAGUUAUUUUCUCAUGUCCAGGUAUUUCAUUUCAAAUCCAAGUCAGAUAUCAAAUCUGAUGAAGUAAGAAAUUCAUAAAAUCAAAAUGCAUGCCGUGUAGUCCGCCAAUGGUGACACAUGGCAGUACGUUAGCAAUUCAAUUUUGCGUUGGGUGUUCUUAGGCCUAAGUAAUAAACAUUUAUCAACCAAAAGCAAAAAUACCACCCACUUUAUAUCAAAAGCUGAAAAAAUGGAACCUUUUCUCUAUUGAUAAUAAAAAUGUGGAUUAUGUCAAAUUUCAGAAUAAAUCAAAUAAGCCACUUUUAAUCUAUCUGAGUAAUUGCCUCGCUUAAGCCUGCCAGUCGCACCAAAGUAUCAAAUCACCUGAUCACGAGCCACGCUCGCGACGCCAUAUUUGACACUGUUGACGCAACUGAUAGUCUGAUGCAACAUAGAAAAGUUUAUUUUCUUCUUGACAGAGCUGCAGCAGACUGACGAGUCCCAGUGGAUCUGGUGGAUGGAUGCAGCUCACAGCCUSGGCCAAGUUUGGCUGCACUGAGUGGAAAAACGGAGGUUGACUAAAGUGGUGGAAAAUCAGCGGCAGCAGAAAGUAAGCAGGGGGAGCAGGUGACCUGAACUUCAACAGGAUGGAGCCAAUUCCCCCUGAGGAGUAAACAUUCAGUAAAAGCCAAGCAACUCGUAUCUGUGGAGUAAAUGGGCAGCAGAGUGGAGAAUGCCCCCCCUCCACCCUCCUCAACAUGGGCAAGGUAGAGUGUCAGAAUAUCUGAAGCUGUAAUUUCCGUUGACUGCUGCUGCACUCAUCAUGAAGCAACUCUGAGCAAAGAGAUGAAACCUCCCCAGUAAGGUUAUUCAUCAAUAACCUAGAAAGUUUUAUUUUAUCAAAACAUUGACAAAAAAUAAAUAAUAAUACGCAGUGCUCAGGAA